rnacentral:rRNA from 1 species
CCAGACUCCUACGGGAGGCAGCAGUGGGGAAUAUUGCACAAUGGGCGGAAGCCUGAUGCAGCAACGCCGCGUGCGGGAUGACGGCCUUCGGGUUGUAAACCGCUUUCGCCUGUGACGAAGCGUGAAUGACGGUAAUGGGUAAAGAAGCACCGGCUAACUACGUGCCAGCAGCCGCGGUGAUACGUAGGGUGCGAGCGUUGUCCGGAUUUAUUGGGCGUAAAGGGCUCGUAGGUGGUUGAUCGCGUCGGAAGUGUAAUCUUGGGGCUUAACCCUGAGCGUGCUUUCGAUACGGGUUGACUUGAGGAAGGUAGGGGAGAAUGGAAUUCCUGGUGGAGCGGUGGAAUGCGCAGAUAUCAGGAGGAACACCAGUGGCGAAGGCGGUUCUCUGGGCCUUUCCUGACGCUGAGGAGCGAAAGCGUGGGGAGCGAACAGGCUUAGAUACCCUGGUAGUCCACGCUGUAAACGGUGGGUACUAGGUGUGGGGUCCAUUCCACGGGUUCCGUGCCGUAGCUAACGCUUUAAGUACCCCGCCUGGGGAGUACGGCCGCAAGGCUAAAACUCAAAGGAAUUGACGGGGGCCCGCACAAG